UACAGAGGUCUCAAGCGUUGUUCGGAUUCAUUGGGCGUAAAGCGCACGUAGGCGGAUUGUUAAGUCAGGGGUGAAAUCCUGGAGCUCAACUCCGGAACUGCCUUUGAUACUGGCGAUCUCGAGUCCGGGAGAGGUGAGUGGAACUGCGAGUGUAGAGGUGAAAUUCGUAGAUAUUCGCAAGAACACCAGUGGCGAAGGCGGCUCACUGGCCCGGUACUGACGCUGAGGUGCGGAAAGCGUGGGGAGCAAACAGG
rnacentral:rRNA from 1 species